GUAUGUAGCGGUGAUGACAGAUUUGUGGACUAGAGUUUCUGACGCUGCCGCCUCUUCAGCAGCGUCUGCAGACAACCCCUUGGCUGUCUGAGCUCCCAC
rfam:Triticum aestivum genome assembly, contig: Triticum_aestivum_CS42_TGACv1_scaffold_456510_5DS